rnacentral:lncRNA from 1 species
UGAGUCUCUAUGCGACUCCACCGCAAGAGUCUUGAAUUAAGACUCCAUUUUGCUCCAAAGUGUACAUGCAAAGAAAAAAAUAAAGGAUAAAGAUUAGCGGACAACUCAUUAUUUGACAAGAAUUUCACAUGUUAAAUCAUUGAAUAAAUGAGAGCACUGAUUUCAGUUUGUUUCCACAGGUUUGCAACAAAGGAGGAGUUAUAGCUGAAUGCUUUUAGACUAAGCUUGCAAUUAUUAAAGUAUCAAUAAUUCCAAAUACAUAAAGCAUGCAUGUGGGUACCAUCUUAACAUGAUGUCUCUUAAAAGAUUCAACUCUAACAAAGAUUUUGCCCCUUUUAAAUAAUGCUUAAAUAACUUCUAAAAAAAUGAUUCUUUCCAUUCAAUUUAGACCAAGACAGAUACAUUAACAAAAAAAAUCCAAAAAUUUUCAUUAACAGCCAAUCUAACUAUGAAUUACUCCAUUCUAACAUGAAAUGUUUUAUGGCAAAUUCAAGAGAAAACACGGCCUCAUUUAGUAUUACAAUUACGAAUCAAGAAAGGCCAUAACUUAUUUUAAAACUCACAUGUAGUUUAAUGAAGACGAUUGCCUUUUAAAUUAAACAUAAAUUAUUUAAACCUAUUGACAUGAUCUCCAAAUUUUAAGCAAAUUUGAUGUCCAUCUAAAGUCCUAUUUUCUACUAUUAGAAAGCAACUAAAGAAAAGACAUUAAUAUUUCAACAAGAACUCAAGUUAUAAUUCAUGAAAGCAGAACUUUCAUUUUUUAUUUUUUAAAAAAAUAUAAGCUAAAUGGGCAAAUAAACCCCAAUGAACAUGCUACCUAUAGUGUCAAUAUUACAUCUAUAUAUAAAAGUAUACAUAUAACUAGAUCUUAUUUCAAAAAAAUGUGUCCUAAAUCUGAAGGAAAGAGUCCCACAUCAUUCAAAGAAAAACUAAACAAUGAUUUCUAGAUUUUGGACUCAAUACCAAUACUAAUAUAAGUGUUUAUGUAUAAAGCAGCAAGAGGCAUAUUCAUAUCGAUAUAUUGGAUGGCCAUAAUAUAUAAAAAAAAUACGAUCUCUACUAAUAUACCACUACUAUAAGAUAGCAGCUAGUCUUGUUUUUCUUUAACAAAGAAGAGAGCAACUUUAAAGAAAUAAUUUUAAAUAUAUAAGAAAAUAUCCCAUGAUAAUAGUUUGCUAGUCAGGUUCUUCCUUUAGUAACAAUUAGAUUAAACAGAUGUGGUGAACAACUAAAGCACAUAUUUAACACUGAAACUACUCUUCAAAAAAGAGGAAAUAAAACAAACUCAGAUUUUCAUUCUAAACACAACUAAAUAUAAUAAUAAUAAUAAUAAUAAUAAUAAUAAUAAUAAUAAUAAUAAAGAAAAGAAAUGAGCUGACCUGCUUCGGAGUAGUGAACCGGGGUCUUUUACCUACAAUCGAAAUCCGACCACGAGCUCGUCACCUCGAACGUGGACAAAAGAAUAAAUGAAAAAGCAGCAGCUCUGUUUUGAUUAAAAAAACCACUGAAAUCAAAAAGUACCAAAGGUGGAACAGAAAAAGAUUUUAUGAAAAUUUUCUUAAAUAGUGAAAGCAAGCAAAGAGUAGUGGGUUUGAGGGUUAGAGGCAGCGGCUGAAGCUUAAACUCAGGGGGGAUAGAGGGGCGGCUCAGAGCUUAAAGGCUAAAGGAGGGGGCUGAAACUUGUGGGUUUAAAGAGAGGUGUAACGGCUCCAAAAGCUCUGCCCAAUAUAUUCCAAAUGCUAGUAUUUAUAGGUGAAGAAGUAGGGUUUGGUUUUUUUUUUAGGGAAUUCAAAAUCGGACUUGAAUCUUGACAAAAAUGGCCGCUUGAAUCCGAAUGUUAGGCAAGACAGAGAAUCGUCCUUUCUCUGAGAUGGUUUUGAUUUCUUUUCUUAAAAUGGUGAAGUCAAUGUAACUUUUUUGAAAGAUGAUCCAUGUUUUGAAGCAAAAAAAGAAAGGGUGUGGGGAAGCCAUGAG